AAAGGUAAUACUUUUAGGAAACCUUUACCCUUUGGCGGCCUUUUUUCUUACCAGAGGAAUUCGUCUUUUAAUCGAAAUUACUCGCUCACUUUUUCUUUCUUCUAAUCCUUUAUACCGCCGUCUUAAGAGUACAAUAAAAACUUUAUACAAAAAAAUUUCUAUCAAGUCAGGUCAAGGUGAAGAAAUAAGAAAGACUAGAUAAAUUACCCAUUUACAUUAUUAAUGAACUUCUCUCUAAAGAUUUCAAUGAAACAGGAUUUGAAAGUAGGGAGGACAUAAACAAUAAUUUCACCCGAACUAGCGUUUAGGUGUACACAUCGCCCGUCGCUCUUA
rnacentral:rRNA from 1 species